UUACGGAGAGUUUGAUCCUGGCUCAGGAUGAACGCUGGCGGCGUGCUUAACACAUGCAAGUCGAACGAUGAAGCCCAGCUUGCUGGGUGGAUUAGUGGCGAACGGGUGAGUAACACGUGAGUAACCUGCCCUUAACUCUGGGAUAAGCCUGGGAAACUGGGUCUAAUACCGGAUAGGAGCGUCCACCGCAUGGUGGGUGUUGGAAAGAUUUAUCGGUUUUGGAUGGACUCGCGGCCUAUCAGCUUGUUGGUGAGGUAAUGGCUCACCAAGGCGACGACGGGUAGCCGGCCUGAGAGGGUGACCGGCCACACUGGGACUGAGACACGGCCCAGACUCCUACGGGAGGCAGCAGUGGGGAAUAUUGCACAAUGGGCGAAAGCCUGAUGCAGCGACGCCGCGUGAGGGAUGACGGCCUUCGGGUUGUAAACCUCUUUCAGUAGGGAAGAAGCGAAAGUGACGGUACCUGCAGAAGAAGCACCGGCUAACUACGUGCCAGCAGCCGCGGUAAUACGUAGGGUGCGAGCGUUAUCCGGAAUUAUUGGGCGUAAAGAGCUCGUAGGCGGUUUGUCGCGUCUGUCGUGAAAGUCCGGGGCUUAACCCCGGAUCUGCGGUGGGUACGGGCAGACUAGAGUGCAGUAGGGGAGACUGGAAUUCCUGGUGUAGCGGUGGAAUGCGCAGAUAUCAGGAGGAACACCGAUGGCGAAGGCAGGUCUCUGGGCUGUAACUGACGCUGAGGAGCGAAAGCAUGGGGGGCGAACAGGAUUAGAUACCCUGGUAGUCCGUGCCGUAAACGUUGGGCAAUAGGUGUGGGGAACAUUCCACGGUUUCCGCGCCGCAGCUAACGCAUUAAGUGCCCCGCCUGGGGAGUACGGCCGCAAGGCUGGAAGUCAAAGGAAUGACGGGGGCCCGCACAAGCGGCGGAGCAUGCGGAUUAAUUCGAUGCAACGGGAAGAACCUUUCCAAGGCUUGACAUGUUCUCGAUGGCCGUAGAGAUAGGGUUUCCCCUUUGGGGCGGGUUCACAAAUGGUGCAUGGUGGUCGUCAGCUCGUGUCGUGAGAUGUUGGGGUAAGUCCCGCAACGAGCGCAACCCUCGUUCCAUGUUGCCAGCACGUCGUGGUGGGGACUCAUGGGAGACUGCCGGGGUCAACUCGGAGAAAGGUGAGGACGACGUCAAAUCAUCAUGCCCCUUAUGUGUGGGGCUUCACGCAUGCUACAAUGGCCGGUACAAUGGGUUGCGAUACUGUGAGGUGGAGCUAAUCCCAAAAAACCGGUCUCAGUUCGGAUGGGGUCUGCAACUCGACCCCGUGAAGUCGGAGUCGCUAGUAAUCACAGAUCUCCUUGUUUCGGUGAAUACGUUCCCGGGCCUUGUCACGCCGUGGCUUUUUUCCGAAAGUCGGUAACACCCGAAUCCGGGAGAGUUUGAUCCUCCCUCAGGAUGCAUCGCUGUGGGCGGAAC
rnacentral:rRNA from 1 species